rnacentral:rRNA from 1 species
AGAGGUGGCGAGCGUUGUUCGGAUUUAUUGGGCGUAAAGCGAACGCAGGUGGUUUGGUAAGUCAGGGGUGAAAGCCCACAGCUUAACUGUGGCACUGCCUUUGAUACUGCCUUUCUUGAGUGCAUGAGGGGGAAGCGGAAUUCCGAGUGUAGAGGUGAAAUUCGUAGAUAUUCGGAGGAACACCGGUGGCGAAGGCGGCUUCCUGGCAUGUAACUGACACUCAUGUUCGAAAGCGUGGGUAGCAAACAGGAUUAGAUACCCUGGUAGUCCACGCCCUAAACGAUGGGCACUAGGUGUGGGAGGUAUCGACCCCUUCCGUGCCGCAGCUAACGCAUUAAGUGCCCCGCCUGGGGAGUACGGCCGCAAGGUUG